rnacentral:lncRNA from 1 species
CCCUCGGUCAUCUGUGAUUCAUCUCAGCACUGGAGAACCUGACAGAGUAAACGACCAAGUCACAGCCCCAGCAUUGAUGUCUAAAGAACCAUUUCAGGAGCCAGCUGGGGAAUUGUUCUUCUGGAUUCCCAGUUAAUUGUGAAGAUAAUGCAAUGUGGCAGGUCAGAGGCAACAAUGACAUUGCUCGUGCCAGGCUGCAAGGAUAGCCUGGACUGGAUAGACCAUGAAGAAAAUUAG